GAUGAAGAACGUAGCGAAAUGCGAUAAGUAAUGUGAAUUGCAGAAUUCAGUGAAUCAUCGAAUCUUUGAACGCACAUUGCGCCAGCCAGUAUUCUGGCGGGCAUGCCUGUUCGAGCGUCAUUUCAACCAUCAAGCCCCAGGCUUGUGUUGGAGCCCUGCGGCUGCCGCAGCCUCCCAAAACCAGUGGCGGGCUCGCUAUCACACCGAGUGCAGUAGUUUACUCUUCGCUCAGGGCGUGUGGCGGGUGAUAGCCGUAAAACCCCCAACUUCUCAAGGUUGACCUCGGAUCAGGUAGGAAUACCCGCUGAACUUAAGCAUAUCAAUAAGCGGAGGA
rnacentral:misc_RNA from 1 species